GAACCCAAGACCCUCUGGGAGCCAUUGCUGCCCAUCAGCAUACCACCAUGUGGCUCUUCACACCAGGAGCAGACACAGUACUGGGAAGAUACGGACCAGGAGCAGCGAGACACGGCAAUUUCCUGGGCAGUGAUAGCUGCAGAGCAAGCAAGGCAGAGAGGAAAUAUUGCAUCCAUAUGUUCCCACAUAGAGCUCCUCUGGACCAACACCAGCGUUGCCAAGAUGACCUGCAGCACGGGGGCUGGGCUCACACCAGCAGCUGGCCUUGCCCUUCGUGGUUAUCUCUUCCUAUCAGGCCACACUCAUUUCCAUAUCCAAAUACACCUCCAGGAGAGGCUGUUGCAGAUAAGGGCACACAAAAGCAGCAGUUACAUUUUUUCCUUCACUCAGAUGAGCUGAGAAGCCGGGCUGCUUGUUCACGUACGAACUGCACGUAGCUUAACCUUUCAUUUUUGCCUAAUGCUUCGCAUGUGUCCCAUCAGGGCAUACUACAGUUUUAGUUAUUUCUUCUUUUUUUCCACACAGCUGAAGAGAGCUUCCAGUCUGCAUGAAAGAUGAUGCCUCAGCCACUCCCAGCGGGCCCCUUAUUUAUUGUUCACUGUAACUUCUCUCUCCUACCAGCAACCAGAGACUGGCUCGAUAGACUUCUGUGAUGACAGGUGACCAAAAGGAUCACUUUCCCCCCAAAAUGCCUUGUUUUGACAGGUAUCUGGAAGAACAAAAAGGCAGCUCUUUUAUUCUAAAUACCAAGGCACUGAAAACAAAGGAAGAACUCUAUGUACGUAUUUAAUUCCCUAGGCAAGUGAGCCUCAUGACUUGGGAUCAUUACUUCCUCCAAAGCUAGCCUUAAAUGGAGAACCAUAUUAAUAGUCUCUCAGUAUUUGCUUAAUGGCUUUCAAACUGGUCCAUCUCUCCACGCAAAAGGAAUAUAAAAAUUAAGUCCUGGGGCAGUGGAAAAUAUCCACAUCAGCAGAAGUUGGGACAGUCCUCAAGCAAAGAGAAGAGCAGUAAAGGAAAGUCCCUAAGAGAGGUGGAAGAAGAGAUGAGAGCAAACAGAAGAUGAAGCAGAUGCAAGAAGCAUCUGCUCAGGAAGGUCAGGAAGCAUGAGGAGGAAUGGGAAAAGGAAAUGGUCUGGCUGUAAAGAGAGGCUGAUAUAAACAGGAGAGGGGACAGUCAUACAUCUGCAUUGCCAUGCCCAGCUUUGCCUUCAGGAGCUCAGGGAUAAUGCUCACAGAUUGAAGAGUGUGCAUGGAGGAGCUAUGCACACAACAUCAGCCACCACAGAACAAACCUUUAGGUGAAAACUCAACAAGAACAGCUGUUUCAAGGAGAGAAAAAAAAAAAAAAAAGAUCCACUGCCUUCUGGAUAAAACCAAAAAUUCUGGUCAAAUGUCAGGUACAUCAGCAAAGACAACCAACCCCUGGGCCAACUCACAAGGGCCAGGUUAGUUUUCAUGGCUAAUCAUUUCAAGACUGGGUCUGGAUGCUUCUCUUGGAGGCAAGCGGUAGUUCAAGUACAGAUUUAUGAAAUGCAGGAUUAGCCUGGCGACAAUUCUUACAGCCUCCUCUAGCUUUGCGCACUUACUCAAGACCCAAAGAGGUGGGGAGGUGGGUGAAAGAGGUGGGGCAGGGAAAGAAAAUAAAGAGGUAGAGGGAAACAAAGAAAGCAUGUUGAUAAUCAUAGAAUCACAGAAUGGCCUGGGUUGAAAAGGACCAUAAUCACCACCUGGCUUCAACCCCCCUGCUAUGUGCAGGGUCACCAACCAGCAGACCAGGCUGCCCAGAGCCACAUCCAGCCUGGCCUUGAAUGCCUCCAGGGAUGGGGCAUCCACAACCUCCUUGGGCAACCUGUUCAGUGUGUCGCCACACCCUGUGUGAAAAACUUCCUCCUAAUAUCUAGCCUAAACCUCCCCUGUCUCAGUUUAAAACCAUAAUGAACUAGAAUGAGGAAAAACAGCCUAAAAAGAGAAAGCACAAUAUGCAUAAUAAUUUUAUUUCUUCUCAUUGAACACACAUGGGAAAUAAACUGGACAAGAGAAACCAACUCUGUGCAGGAGAAUGGGGCUGGAAAUACAAAAGCAAGCUUUGGUUUUUUUUCUUUGUUUCAGAAUAUUUUUUCAAGGGUGAUUUUUUUCAAGGGUGCAGUUCUUAGCACCAGAGAAGCCAGGUCCAGCUCACCCUGUGGCACAUUUACCACCAGGUGAUGCACGAUGCCUUGUGACAGUAAGGCAGAAAAAUGCUCAACAUGCCCCCCAGCCACGCUUACACUGCAUAAUUCUUGCAGAUGACAAGAAUCCUUAGAGCCAGUGACCUCAUCUCCAAAUGAAAUGUAUAAACAGAUGCUCUUCUAAAGCCACUGUAUUCCUCCACAUGCUGCCUCGAUCGAUACAGCUGUGGUUUACUUACUCCACCGUUCCAAGUUACGUGACGAGGUACAACUGCGAAACUCUACCUGGACUUCAGCUCUGGGGGGGGAAAUUGGAUGUGUGCAGGCACGGUGAUGUAUGCAAAAAAGAAAGGAGACACCAGGAUAUGAGGUAUCAGUGUAUGAAAGCACAGGAAGCACAAGACUACCAAUGUGAAGUGUCUCUCGUGGCAUCCUCCAGCAACAGCUCUGGGGUGAAGUGACAGAAUCACAUCAAAUUGGAUUCUCUGCGUAAUGGCACAAAGACCUGAACAUUAUAAUCAGGGGUAGCUAAGCAGGUAAAUUGUAAAGAGCAAAUCUAAAAGUAGUGAUCAAUUCAUUAGCCACAGAAGCUUUGAAACAAGUUCUUUUGUCUUGGUUAUAGUUUCCAUCAAUGAACACAGCAAGGAAGUUGGUUUACUGCAGCAGAGCGUGCUUCUGUUGCCUUUGCUGGUCCAUGAGAGAGAUCAGUUCUCUCAGCAGAUCCCAGCUUACGCCUGGCUUUGCUCUAAAAACCACGUCCAGAAAAACACAAGCAACAGGAAGUUCUCGGUGUGUAAACACAAGGUAAAAGCUUACACUUUCUGCAGCUGAGCACUACCACUAACGACAACAAUAAAAAGGCAGAAUAUGUGCACAGCAUCAUACCAUGUAUAUAAAAAGCCAUAGGCUAAAGCUCAACAUUUGUAGAUAAAUACGACACCUAGAAGUCUUAGGAAAUUAAAACCAGGAGCUUUCUUUUUUUUCUGCAAACCUCCUUUUGCUUUCACCUACAUUCAUGUUUCAUGCGCUCAGCUUCUUCAUUCCAAGACAAAGAAAGAAACAAACAUCUGACAGCCUCUUCCCCACCCCUCCAUCUUUUCCUCCUUCAGCCCCAAACGGUCUCUCUGCAGCUGGUGCAAUACUACCCUGGAUCAGCUCCGUGAGCUGCAUUUCCCUGAGCUGCCCCAAGCAGCAUUCACUGUGGAGAUUAUCAGGAAGAGAGACCAAAAUGCUCUUAAUGUAGAGAUCACUCAAGCACGAUAGAAUUACUCAGUGAAAUCGAGUGGGGUUAUCAGUGGGGUGCAGUUCUUACUGAGCACUGAGGCGGUUCACUCACACCCCACACACUUUUUAAGUGUUAAACUGCAUAUGCAUUAAAAAUGAAAUGUAUUCCUUCCCAUGUGAGUGUUUCCCUCUGCUUCCAAUCACUCUGCUUCUUGGAGCUCCAUUUCUGGUAAAAGGAACAGUCCUUUUGAACCUACCUGUUGCUUUUCAGAUUAAUUUCACAGCAUGCUUUGGUUAAAAUUAAUAAAUCAAUCAAAUCAAAGAAAAAAAGACAACAACGUUUGACUGUGAAGGAACUAACUGCCCGGAUGUGUCAUUUGUAAAAUAAAAUCUUUCACAGAAAGAGUAAAAUAAGGAAGUGCACAGUGGAAUCUUGAGGAAUAAGGCUUUUUUUUUUUUUUUAAUGUUUUAUUUUUAAUAAAACUUGGCAGAUUUGGAGGCCGUCUCAUGCCCACUAAAAGCAGCCCCGGCACCUACAUGUCAGCGGACUGUUUUUAC
ensembl:lncRNA